rnacentral:rRNA from 1 species
GUGAACGCUGGCGGUAGGCCUAACACAUGCAAGUCGCACGGCAGCACAGUAAGAGCUUGCUCUUACGGGUGGCGAGUGGCGGACGGGUGAGGAAUACAUCGGAAUCUACUUUUUCGUGGGGGAUAACGUAGGGAAACUUACGCUAAUACCGCAUACGACCUACGGGUGAAAGCAGGGGAUCUUCGGACCUUGCGCGAUUGAAUGAGCCGAUGUCGGAUUAGCUAGUUGGCGGGGUAAAGGCCCACCAAGGCGACGAUCCGUAGCUGGUCUGAGAGGAUGAUCAGCCACACUGGAACUGAGACACGGUCCAGACUCCUACGGGAGGCAGCAGUGGGGAAUAUUGGACAAUGGGCGCAAGCCUGAUCCAGCCAUACCGCGUGGGUGAAGAAGGCCUUCGGGUUGUAAAGCCCUUUUGUUGGGAAAGAAAAGCAGCAGGUUAAUACCCCGCUGUUCUGACGGUACCCAAAGGAUAAGCACCGGCUAACUUCGUG